GAACAAAGAUUGGAGCUGAAGACC
rnacentral:piRNA from 1 species